rnacentral:lncRNA from 1 species
UUUUUGCAUGAACCCCCUGAGGGGUUCAUGCUUAUAUAUUGGUGAGUUUUGAAUGUGUCUAUGGGCCACUCGAUAUCUCUCGGCCGGAAGUCACAAUAAAAAUCUCGGAACGUCUCUAAAAUUUUCGGUCAUAUAUACAGGACUUAACAGGUUGUUAUCUACGUCUAUGAUAUGGUCCCUUGAUGGCCCUUGACGACGCAAUUAUAUUUGUUUUAAAACAACCACUGUGUACUGUGUGUAUCUG